rnacentral:rRNA from 1 species
AAGGCUUGACAUACUACAGAUUUCUUUGAAAGAGGAAAGUGCCUUCGGGAAUGUAGAUACAGGUGGUGCAUGGCUGUCGUCAGCUCGUGUCGUGAGAUGUUGGGUUAAGUCCCGCAACGAGCGCAACCCUUAUUUUUAGUUGCUAAUUUAUUUUAGGUUUUCUAGAAAGACUGCCGGUGACAAACCGGAGGAAGGUGAGGAUGACGUCAAGUCAGCAUGCCCCUUAUGCCUUGGGCUACACACGUGCUACAAUGGUUAAGACAAAGAGUUGCGAGCUCGCGAGAGUCAGCUAAUCUCAUAAACUUAGCCUAAGUUCGGAUUGUAGGCUGCAACUCGCCUGCAUGAAGUCGGAAUCGCUAGUAAUCGCUGGUCAGCCAUAC